ACCGCCGCGCGCCUGCGAGCGCGAUCGGCUCGCCGCCUGCUUCGCAACCACACCUUGACCUCCCCACCCCGGGGUCCUGCCACCGCGGUGCAGGCGUGGAAAGGAGCUCUGACCCUCAAGUUCACGGCGACACUUUCCAGCCUCGGACCGGUGGAGAGACCCCGAGGGCCAUCCUGGAUCGGCAAGUUUGCUGUCUGACUCUCAGUAUGAUGACCUCAUCUGUCGUGAUGUGUCAUCAUAUGUCAAAGUCGUCAUUUGGAGAAAUGAAGGAGCCAUCAUAUGAUUCCUUUUGACUGAAGAAAGACAAGCUCACCAUGCAAAUACUCGCCUAACACCUAUCCAAACAAUACUUAAUAAAUGUUUUAUUUAUUUUGAAAUA